GACGAACCGAGCGAACGUUAUUCGGAAUCACUGGGCUUAAAGGGCGCGUAGGCGGGCCUGAUAGUCAGGGGUGAAAGCCCCCAGCUCAACUGGGGAAGUGCCUCUGAUACUUCAGGUCUCGAGGGAGGUAGGGGCGUGCGGAACUUCCGGUGGAGCGGUGAAAUGCGCAGAUAUCAGGAGGAACACCGGUGGCGAAGGCGGGUCUCUGGGCCGAUACUGACGCUGAGGAGCGAAAGCGUGGGGAGCGAACAGG
rnacentral:rRNA from 1 species